GAUUUGCCGGUUUCAGGUUUUCACUUGGAUGCUGGAGCAGGUGCCUCAGUGCAGGCAAAUGCCUGUGAUGAUGCCGUCGCUGCCACGGGGACAUGGAACAAGCAAAGGCAGGCUCACUUCAAAUCUGUAAGACAAAAAUUCACUGUCAACAUACUAACUCGACCUUAAAGGAAUCCAGACAGCGUCAAUCUUGGAGCAGCUGUGGUAUUAUUCUCUGAUGCCCAGCACAUGCCAGACACUGUUAGGUUCAUCAAAUUCGGAAGCAGCCAAUAUUUUACUCCUAGGAACUUAAGAUAAAGAGAAACAAGGGUGCUCUCUGCUAUAGAUCUCAAGGUUCAACUAACUUACCUUCAUGGAGCAUCGCUCUACAAAGAAGAGUGACAAAUUGAUUUGGGGAUAUGUGGAGAGUGUGUUACUUAAAGGCUGUUGGCAAUGAGCCA